ACCUGCCAGAUAAAAAAGACAAUAAUGAGAUUCAUGCUGGAAAAGCCAACCUGGGUGAAUUCCUGCUGAAAGAAUGCCGGCUGCCUUCCCUGAUGUGGCCAUCUUGCUGAAUCCAAUCUCAUGUGUUUGGGAGCUAUAGAGCCACGUCCAUUUGGCUCUAGCCAAGACCUGUUUGUGCCCCUGGGCACCCCCUGAACCCCACAACCUGGGAGCCACUAGCUGCCUUGUUCCCCCAGGAUAAUGUCCAGCCCAAUAGAACAGCUUAAACUGACCCAGCCUCCUGAGCACUUUGGCAUCGAUCACCAAUUAUGACUGGAGGGGCCCGGAGCCUGGCAUCCCACCAUGGUAUCAGUGAAGAUGCUUUCAGGACCUCUGGUUCAAAGAAGUGGUUCAAGAUGUUCAAGAUGUUACUGACCUCAUCAUCACUAUCAGUUUCAUCUGUUUUGGCUGAGAACAUUGUCGUACUGGACCUGUCAAAGAAUCAUUCAGUGAUCAGUCACUCGGAGUUGGUCUGAGGAUUCAGUCACUCAGAGUUGGACUGGAAGACGGACACUAGGACUUAGAGUGAAGAGAGGCACUUUAGGAGAGACUGGAAGAGAGAUACUUGGACUUGGAGUGAAGACACUUGACUGUGGAAUUGGACCCCUGGAGGAGCUCAUGCAGGAGACCUCAGACUGCUUUUCUUUGGUCAUGAUGGUGAGUGUAAAGGCUGACUUCUUUCCUUUCCCUUUCCGGAAGUGUGAACCUCCAAGAAAGGCCAAUCGUCUUGAGACUCCUUUCCCCUAACUGGUGCCUUAGAAUUUCUAACUGGUUCAGAGGAAGUCAGAGCUUUCUCUCUCUCUCUCUCUCUCUCUCUCUCUCUCUCUCUCUCUCUCUCUCUCUCUCUCUCUCUCUCUCUCUCUCUCUCUCUCCCCUCUUUUCUCUCUUCCUUAAUAUCUUCCUUCCAUUGUAAAAAUAAACUACCACAGAGGGCAGCUGGGUAGCUCAGUGGAUUGAGAGCCAGGCCUAGAGACAGGAGGUCCUAGGUUCAAAUCUGGCCUCAGCUUCCCAGCUGUGUGACCCUGGGCAAGUCACUUGACCUCCAUUGCCUAGCCCUUACCACUCUUUUGCCUUGGAGCCAAUACACAGUAUUGACUCCCAGAUGGAAGGUAAGGGUUUAAAAAAUAAAAUAAAAUAAACUACCACAAAUUACAUUUUACUUUAGUAAUUCAUUUUGGGAUUUAGAAAUUAAAUCCCUGGCAACCACCAAUUAAAUAUUUAGUCCAACCAUAAAAAAUUAAUAAUACCAUAAGAAUAUAUAAGUACUAUAAGAAAUGAUAAGCAAGAUAAUUUCAGAAAAAGCUGGAAAAAUCUACAGGAACUGAUAUGGGACAAAAUAAGCAGAACUAAGAGAACAUUGUACACAAUAACAGCAAUAUUGGAUGUAUCUGUAUCUGUAAAAAACUUGGCCACCUCUCAGCAAUGCAAUAAUCUGGGACAAUCUUGAAAGAUUUGUGACUGGGAAUAAUAUUCACCUCCAGAGAAAGAUCUGUUGAAGUCAUCUUUCACAUCAGUGUAUCUGUGGUUUUAUUUUGGGGGUUUUGGUUAUAUAUAAUUUUGUUCUUACAGCAAUGAACAAUAUGGAAGUGUUAUUUUGCAUGACAAUAAAAUAUAUAUAUAUAUAUUUUUUAAAAGAGGAUUGUUUUGGGGUGUCUUCCAGAAGAUCUGGGAUUUAGAACUAGAGGGACUUUUGAAGUCAUUUGUCCCAACAUCCCUAUUUUACAAUAGAGGCACAGAUAACUAGAAGCUGAUUUGGGAUUUGAACUCAAAUCUCCUAAUCCAGAAUCCAGGAUUCUGGCCUUGCUCCCCAAUGAGUUCUAAAUGUGCAUACCUUUUGACUCACUGAUAUCACUCUUAGGUUGUUAAUUUCCUAAGGUAAUAGGGAAAAAGGAAAAGAACCUGUAUGUUCUAGAAUAUUUACAGCAGCACUCUUUGCAGUGACAAAGAACUGGAAAUCAAGGGGAUGCCCAUCAGUAGAAGAAUGGUUAAACAAGAAGUGGAAUAUGAUUGUAAUGGAAUACUACUAUGCUGUAAGAAAUAACAAAAAAGUUAAUUUUUAAAAACAGGGAAAGAACUUCAUGAAAUUAUGAAGAGUGAAACAAGCAGAACCAAGAGGGCAUUGUAUAUGGUGACAGAAGUAUUGUCUAUCUUCCUAGAACCACUCCCCAGUUUUUGUCAUCUUUGCCAAUUCCCUAUGAGAUGAAACCUCAGAGUUGUUUUGAUUUGCAUUGCUCUUAUGAUCAUUAGUGAUUUGGAGCACUUGUUCACAUAGUUAAUAGAUUGCUAUUCUUCCAUUGAGACCUGUAUGUUCAUAUCCCUUGGACUUCUUAGCUAUUAGGAAAAUGGCAUUUGGCAUUUUAUACAUACCAUAUACAUAUACAGCCAUAUUUACAUAUGCGUGUAUAUAUCUAAAAGGAACAUAAAUUAUAUUUCAUAUAUCUGCCUCGAUAGAUAUAUUUAUAUGCAUAUCUAUAGACAUAUUGAUAGAAUUUACUAUUGAAUGUUGUGUUAGGUAGGUAUAAAUCUAAGUCUGAUUUCUGACAGACUAUUCAGUUUUCCUAACAAUUUUUACCAUAUAGAGAGUUUUUUCCCAAGUAAGUUAUGUUUUCCAUUUUAUCAAACACUAGGUUAUUUCCCUGUUUCUGAUUCUCCCUUGUCUAGUUUCUUCUUUUGGUCGAUUUCUCCAUUUUUUAGUCAUUACUAAAUGGUUUUGAUGACUGCUCCUUUAUAACACAGUUGAGAUCUAGAAGUAAUAUUAACUCUUAGCUGCCUCCUUUUUUCAUUAUUUCCCUUGACGUUUUAGAUCUUUUGUUUCUACAAAUGAAUUUUAUUAUUGUAAAGUGUUCUAUAAAAUAAUGAUGUUAAAUAGAAAUGAGUUCACUAAUCCAUACAUGAUGAUCCCUACAGAUUUAAUUUUGAGACAGUAUCUGUGGUGCUUUAUAUUUUCAUUUAUUUAAAAAAUAUUUCCCAAUUAUACUUUAAUCUGGUUUAGAACUCAGGAGUAUUGUGUGUUGCAUACCUGAAGGCCACAUGUUUGAAACCUCUGCAUAUAUCUUUGAGAUUUUCAUUGGGACAGCAUUAAAACUGCAAUUUAACUUUGGUAGUAUUUCCAUUUUUAUGUUGUUGGCACAGCCUAGUCAUGAACACUGAAUAUCUUUAUAUCUAUUUAUGUUUUUUUUUUUAGUUUUAUUUUAAAAACUCUUACCUUCCGUUCCUUGGUUCCAAGGUAGAAGAGUGGUAAGGGCUAGGCAAUGGGGGUCAAGUGACUUGCCCAGGGUCACACAGAUGGGAAGUGUCUGAGGCCAGAUUUGUACCUAGGACCUCCCAUCUCUACGCCUGGUUCUCAAUACACUGAGCCACCGAGUUGCCCCCUUAUGUUUUUUUUUUUUUUAAACCCUUACCUUCCAUCUUAGAGUCAAUACUGUGUAUUGGCUCCAAGGCAGAAGAGUGGUAAGGGCUAGGCAAUGGGGGUCAAGUGACUUGCCCAGGGUCACACAGCUGGGAAGUGUCUGAGGCCAGAUUUGAACCUAGGACCUCCCGUCUCUAGGGCUAGCUCUCAAUCCACUGAGCUACCCAGCUGCCCCCCCCCCCCUUAUGUUUUUUUUAAAGAACUCUUUUAAAUUGAAUCCAUAUGAGUCUUUUGUAUGUUUUUGCAGAGUAAGCCUCACAGGAUUGUUCUAAAGAUCAAAUGAAAUAAUGUUUGUAAAUCACUUAUCACAGUGCUCGGCAUAUAACUGGUAUUUAAUAAGUAUUUAUUUCCUUCCUAUUCUUGUUAUUAUAUGGAAAUGCUUUUGAUUUUUGUAGGUUUAUUUUGUUGCCUGCAACUUUCCUAAAUUUAUUAAUUGUUUUUGUUGGAAUGGCUGCUGAUUUCUAAGAAUUUUCUAAGUAAAUCAUCAUGCCAUCAGCAAAUAGGGAUUGUUUUAGCUAACUGUAAGCUUUUGGUUUCUUUUUAUGUUUGUUUGCUUUUUGCUAACAUUUCUAAGACUAUAUAAAUGACAUUACUUUUCCUUCAGUAAUGAUCACCUUUUUCAGAUUAAUGUGUUAUCUAGACAUCAAUACUGAAUCAUUGAUUUUUAAUUCAUAAGAGUGUAAUAAAAUGAAGAAAUACUAAAGAUCCCAUGUGAACAGAAUCGACUUUUUCUGUAAUGAUUCAGAAGCAAAGCAAGUUUGGAUUCUGCAAAGCCUCAAGGUCACAACUAUUAGACUUAACUGAAUAAAUAAUAAAUUUUAGAGUAAGAGGGGAAUAAAAUUUUAACUAGUGUUAAUGAAUUACCCAAAAUAAUAAUAUCUCACAUUUCUUUAAUACUUUAAGAUUUAUAAAACGCAUCCCUCAAAAGAGCCCUGAGGCUUAUGAGUUGAACAGGCACAGUCUGUCUCUGCUCUGGACAUGACCUUUUCUCAAGCCCAAGAUCCCCUUAUUUCACCCUUUUCCAGAAAUUUACAUAUUCAGGGCUGCUUUCUUAUUUGAUUCAGCUAGGUCUCCCCUAGACAAAAUCAAGCUCUCCCUACCUAUGGCAUCAGAAAUAGGAAACCAAUUAAAUGUGCCUGUGUGUGAAGAUGCUCCUGUCCCUUUUAAAUCUGUAACCCCCUUCCCAAUGAUGGAGAGCUUAGAAAAAUUGCAUGUUCCUUGUCCAAGGGCGAACCUCUCUGUAAGACCAUUGUUGACCUCUCCUUUUUUCUCCUACUGUGUCCCUGAGAUCACUACACUCAGAGGUAUGCUGGAGCCAGUUUGAACUGAUGGAUAAGAUGAUGGUCAAAUUUUCAUGUAUUUAUACCUUGGAAAUGGGCAAAUUAAAAAGAAAAGAAAAAGAAAGGAAGAAAUGGGCAAAUGCCUUAAAUCAGGGUUUUCUCUUUUAUUGUCUAGAUUUAAGAAAAUGAUAAAGAAAGUGCUGAUAAUACAGAUUAAACUUGAGUGCAUCAUGCCUCCUGACAUUUGUUUUUAUUUCCUGGGGGCAUGGGGCGCUGCUUGUUAAAUAUUUACCAGCACACCCCUGACUAUACCUGAAGUUCCUGUUGCCUCCCUGGCUGUAGCCUUCCUUUAUUUCCUUCAUUCGGUGUUUCAUUUGGGGCUUUCAGGCUUCUUCAUGUAGUCUAAGAGGUGUUAUAAUAAAGGCUUGUUGCUUUACAUAUAUCUGGCCUGUCUGAUUCUCUUGUGAAUCUAAGACCCAUAAACUGAGUAGGACGGAUAGAUAAGGGCAUGUGUUGUUAUCCCCACUUUAUAGAUAAGGAAACUGAGUCUCAGAGAAACGAUAUGGCAGAGUUGAAUUUUCUGGCGUUAAACUGAGCACUUUUGGCAGAUUAGGACAAACAAGCUUCCAUGACCUCCUUAGGGGUGAUUUCUGGAUCUCUCCUACACAAAGGGCCUGGAACACAGAUUUGAGGGGUUGGGGUUUAGCAGUAACUCUACCUUUGGUGACAGCAAUUUUCCAGAAAGUGCUUUCAUGCAG